CUCGGAAAAAUCCGAGUUUUUUUAUAUAGUGACACUUACUGAAUCCGCUUACAAAAAACCAUUGACACCAUUAUUUCCCUAAUGUUAUAUUCGGGAUGUGGGUCAGGCCAAAUCGCCUAUGUCUUACGUCAUUUGAAUAUGAAGGGAAUGUUUAACAGAUGCAAGGUAAAGUAAAAUGGUUCAACGCGGAAAAAGGAUACGGAUUCAUCGAGACUGAGGAAGGCGGCGAUGUGUUCGUUCACUUCUCCGCAAUUCAAAUGGACGGCUACAAGGCUCUUGAAGAAGGCCAAACUGUAGAGUUUGACAUCGUUCAAGGCGCAAGAGGCCCGCAAGCAGCUAACGUUAACAGAGUGUAAUCAUUCCGGCGCUUUUAGCGUCGAAAUAUAA
rnacentral:sRNA from 1 species